UACUUACUCCCUUCGUCUGGAGUUGCUUGUCGUAAAAAUGGGUGUAUCUAGAUAUAUUUCAGUUCUAGAUACAUCUAUUUCCGCAACAAGUAAUUUGGGACAGAGGAAGUACAUA
rnacentral:pre_miRNA from 1 species